rnacentral:rRNA from 1 species
AAUAGAUACCCGGGUAGUCCACGCCGUAAACGAUGAGUGCUAGGUGUUAGGGGUUUCCACCCCUUAGUGCUGCAGCUAACGCAUUAAGCACUCCGCCUGGGGAGUACGGUCGCAAGACUGAAACUCAAAGGAAUUGACGGGGGCCCGCACAAGCGGUGGAGCAUGUGGUUUAAUUCGAAGCAACGCGAAGAACCUUACCAGGUCUUGACAUCCCGCUGACCGCCAUGGAGACAUGGCUUUCCCUUCGGGGACAGCGGUGACAGGUGGUGCAUGGUUGUCGUCAGCUCGUGUCGUGAGAUGUUGGGUUAAGUCCCGCAACGAGCGCAACCCUUGUCCUUAGUUGCCAUCAUUCAGUUGGGCACUCUAAGGAGACUGCCGUACAAAUACGGAGGAAGGUGGGGAUGACGUCAAAUCAUCAUGCCCCUUAUGACCUGGGCUACACACGUGCUACAAUGGGCAGUACAAAGGGCUGCGAACCCGCGAGGGGGAGCGAAUCCCAAAAAGCUGCUCUCAGUUCGGAUUGCAGGCUG